UACGUAGGGUGCGAGCGUUAAUCGGAAUUACUGGGCGUAAAGCGUGCGCAGGCGGUUUUGUAAGCCGGAGGUGAAAUCCCCGGGCUUAACCUGGGAACUGCGUUUGAAACUACGGAGCUAGAGUGCGGCAGAGGGGGGUGGAAUUCCACGUGUAGCAGUGAAAUGCGUAGAUAUGUGGAGGAACACCGAUGGCGAAGGCAGCCCCCUGGGCCGACACUGACGCUCAGGCACGAAAGCGUGGGGAGCAAACAGG
rnacentral:rRNA from 1 species